rnacentral:rRNA from 1 species
UACGUAGGUGACAAGCGUUGUCCGGAUUUACUGGGCGUAAAGAGCGCGCAGGCGGUCGUUCAAGUCGAGUGUGAAAGCCCCCGGCUCAACUGGGGAGGGUCAUUCGAUACUGAUCGACUCGAAGGCAGGAGAGGGUAGUGGAAUUCCCGGUGUAGUGGUGAAAUGCGUAGAUAUCGGGAGGAACACCAGUGGCGAAGGCGACUACCUGGCCUGUUCUUGACGCUGAGGCACGAAGGCCAGGGGAGCAAACGGG